rnacentral:rRNA from 1 species
AGCGAACGCUGGCGGCAGGCCUAACACAUGCAAGUCGAACGAAGUCUUCGGACUUAGUGGCGGACGGGUGAGUAACACGUGGGAACGUACCUUUUGGUUCGGGACAACUCAGGGAAACUUGAGCUAAUACCGGAUGAGCCCUUAGGGGGAAAGAUUUAUCGCCGAAAGAGCGGCCCGCGUUAGACUAGCUAGUUGGUGAGGUAAAGGCUCACCAAGGCUACGAUCUAUAGCUGGUCUGAGAGGAUGAUCAGCCACACUGGGACUGAGACACGGCCCAGACUCCUACGGGAGGCAGCAGUGGGGAAUCUUGCGCAAUGGGCGAAAGCCUGACGCAGCCAUGCCGCGUGAAUGAUGAAGGUCUUAGGAUUGUAAAAUUCUUUUACCAGGGACGAUAAUGACGGUACCUGGAGAAAAAGCCCCGGCUAACUUCGUGCCAGCAGCCGCAGUAACAC